UGGGGAAUAUUGCGCAAUGGGCGGAAGCCUGACGCAGCGACGCCGCGUGGGGGAUGACGGCCUUCGGGUUGUAAACCUCUUUCAGCAGGGACGAAGCGGAAGUGACGGUACCUGCAGAAGAAGCACCGGCCAACUACGUGCCAGCAGCCGCGGUAAUACGUAGGGUGCAAGCGUUGUCCGGAAUUAUUGGGCGUAAAGAGCUCGUAGGCGGUUCGUCGCGUCGGCUGUGAAAACCCGGAGCUCAACUCCGGGCCUGCAGUCGAUACGGGCGGACUCGAGUUCGGCAGGGGAGACUGGAAUUCCUGGUGUAGCGGUGAAAUGCGCAGAUAUCAGGAGGAACACCGGUGGCGAAGGCGGGUCUCUGGGCCGAUACUGACGCUGAGGAGCGAAAGCGUGGGGAGCGAGCAGGAUUAGAUACCCUGGUAGUCCACGCCGUAAACGUUGGGCGCUAGGUGUGGGGGCCAUUCCACGGUCUCCGUGCCGCAGCUAACGCAUUAAGCGCCCCGCCUGGGGAGUACGGCCGCAAGGCUAAAACGUCAAAUGAAUUGACGGGGUCAUAGCUGUUU
rnacentral:rRNA from 1 species